rnacentral:lncRNA from 1 species
UGUUUUCUUACAUAAAGACGCCAUGUGGCGCUUUGUGAUUGGCCAUAAAUUUUUUUAAUGUCUGUCAGAAAAUGGAUUAAAAAAUAUAACAUAGCUUUAAUACUCAAUUUUAGUCCGGGCCUAAAUAAGCAAAGGUGCCCAGUCCAUUUAAAAACUUAAAUUACGUGGCCUAAUUACAAAUGUUACAAGCCCAAAUUGUAACCCAAUUACAUUAGCCUAAACCCAAAUCUAACCUAGCCCAAUAAACCCAUAACAGAAUCAAAGAACCCUAGCCCCUUCGCUUUAGUGCCGCAGUAGCAAACAGCCUCUGCAGCACCGCAGAUGUCGCAGCAUGUUGCAUGUUCUCCUUCCAUGCCGCGCACAAUGCCCGUACCUGCAACAGAAAGAACCACGAGCAGCAAGCAAGAGAAAAAACCGAAAAUAUAGCAAAUUGUAAAAAGAUUUGGCUAUAAAAAGCCAAUUGAUUUAUGUAAUGGGGGUUAGACAAAUGUUGUAAAAAAUGUUGAAAUACAAAAACAAAAGACAAAAAACAAUUUUGAAGGUGAUCGAUUUUGUUAUGUUUUUACUGUUCUUUUUCCUGUUUUUUUAUUGGUUUUUCUUUUUAUUUUUCCUGGUUUCUUAAAAUGAAUAAACAAAAAAGGUAAGGAAAAGGGGACUUACCGUUGUGCGUCUUCGAGAGUCCUCUUCGCUUUGUCGUUAAUGGAACGAGAUGGAACCGAAACGAAGAAGGGGAGGCGGCCACGGUGCGAUUUCAAAAUGGUAGAAGGGCUGACAUUUUAGGGUUUCGAAAUUGGGGUUUUAUAGAGCAUUAAACGACGUUGUUUGGGGCCUGUUUCAAUGGCCUCCAAAACGGCAUCGUAUUUGCUCAAACUAUGCACGACUCGAUCCGAC